GGAAAAAUCUCAGUAACUUAACAAAGUUUGAAGUCACCUGCAGGUCUGAGGCACCCCUAUCAGCAUGUGCUUUCACAGGCAAAGUAGGGGGCAUAAGAGGGAGCCUUGGGGAGUUGGGCUCCAGCAAUCAAGUGCUUUUGCCUGGAAGUGACUCUCUCAAAUGACUAUACUCACAUUUCACUGACCCGAACUCCUCAUUUGGUCACACCUAAUUUCAAGAGGUAUGUGAUCCUCCCACAUAUCCAAUAUUACAGAGAGAUCAAAUAUUUAUAAAGAAUAAUAAUACCAGUCAGCAUUUCUAAGUAACCCAAUUAACCCUGUGGGACCUCCAUUCUACUGUGUGCCACCCAGUGACUAAGGCAUGUGUCUUAUUUCUGUUUCAUGUGCUAAGAUACUCCGGAAUGACUAUGGAUCCUGAUCCACUUCUUGUGUUGAACUCUUCUUCCAUCCCUGUUGCAUAGCCUCUACUGGGCUGAAUCAGAUAUACUCCGCUUCGACCAGUUGUGUUAUUACUACAUCUUCCUUGAGCCUGCAGUCCCACAGCAGAUUCCUGGUAUCUCUACCACCACUUCUUGUAACCUCACCAGCUCCCUCUGAGGACAAGGCUUAGUUUCUCCCUCAUGCUCUGCACUCCAGUGCCUCUGUAGAUGGGCAGCGUUGAACAAGAAUGAAUAAUUACUAAUAUUAUACAAACUGGACUUGAGAAAGAAUGUCUUCUAAUGUGUCUUAGGCACACCUAGAAGCACUGAGGUCUUUUCUGAUUUUCAAAGAUGUGUGCAGAUUACUCAGAAAUAUGAAUAUAUCUAUGUAUAGAUAUAUAACAUAUAUAGAGUUGUUUAGGAAUCACUGCCUUUUGUAAAAAGUUAAUAUGAUCAGUUUAAUAAUACUAUGCACAUUUAUUAUACUGCAUAAAUGCUAAGUGGUUUCUGUGAAUGCUGUGUUUUGGUACUGUUCUGGUACAGCGAAAAAAAUAUUUUUUUCUUACUUUGUUAGUUCUACAGUGUGAUGAGUAGUUUUUUGUGUCAACUGGACUAGACCACAAUACCCAGUUAUUUUUUUAAAUAUUUUAUUUUUUAAAGAUUUUAUUUAUUUAUUCAUAGAGACACAGAGAAAGAGAGAGGCAGAAACACAGGCAGAGGGAGAAGCAGGCUCUAUGCAGGGAACCUGACAUGGGACUCGAUCCCAGGGUCUCCAGGAUCACGCCCAGGGCUGCAGGCGGCGCUAAACCGCUGCGCCACCAGGGCUGCCCAAUACCCAGUUAUUUAACCAAAUGCUAGUCUGGAUGUUGCUGUGGAGGUAUUUUGUAGACGUGGUCUAUAUCUACAAUCAAUUGACUUGAUAAUGUGGGCCUCAUCCUAUCAGUUAAAGGCCUGAAGAGCAAAAACUGAGGUCUCCUAGAGAAGAAAGAAUUCUCCUUCAAGACUCCAGCAGUGGCUCUUGCCUGAGUUUCCAGCCAGCCAAUAUGGAUUUCAGACUCACCAGCCUAUGAGUAUUGCUCAUGCAGAUAAACAUCCUCCCAUUCUGUGAGAAGGUAGAAAGUGAAACCCUUUACCAUCUCUUCCUUCGGUGAUUAAUAAAUAAAUGAACUAUAAAUACAGUGGUUUGAACUUCUCAGAAUAUAAGAGAAAAAUGAGGAAGUUUCCUGUAACCAGUUAAUGGAGAAGAGAGCAUAAUGGGCAUGAUGGACGCGCAUGAUGAUCAUUAUCAGG